UACAGAGACUGCAAGCGUUAUUCGGAUUCACUGGGCGUAAAAGGGUGCGCAGGCGGCCGUAUGUGUGAGGCGUGAAAGCCCGGGGCUUAACCCCGGAAUUGCACCUCAAACUAUACGGCUAGAGCAUUGGAGAGGGUAGCAGAAUUCAUGGUGUAGCAGUGAAAUGCGUAGAUAUCAUGAGGAAUACCAGAGGCGAAGGCGGCUACCUGGACAAUUGCUGACGCUCAGGCACGAAAGCGUGGGGAGCAAAAGGG
rnacentral:rRNA from 1 species